UACAGAGGUCCCAAGCGUUGUUCGGAUUCACUGGGCGUAAAGGGUGCGUAGGUGGCUUGGUAAGUUUGAUGUGAAAUCUCCGGGCUUAACCCGGAAAUGGCAUUGAAUACUAUUGAGCUGGAGGUUUGGAGGGGGGACUGGAAUUCUCGGUGUAGCAGUGAAAUGCGUAGAUAUCGAGAGGAACACCAGUGGCGAAGGCGAGUCCCUGGACAACACCUGACACUGAGGCACGAAAGCUAGGGGAGCAAACAGGA
rnacentral:rRNA from 1 species